AGUGAGGAUAGAGGUGCAAAAACCAAGAGUACACAAUUGGAGGAGAAUGAGAUCCGUUGAGAAUUGUGGAAAGGGGAAUUUGCCGAAGCUGGAAGAAUCUCAUGUUCUGAAGGCUGGUUCUGUAUUAAAUAAAUACAGAACUGUCAUAUAGCGGAUGUUGCUAUAUGGAGGGCUAUCUCACGC
rnacentral:ncRNA from 18 species